rnacentral:lncRNA from 1 species
CUCUUUCAAGGCUACCUAUGGUGUUCAAGUUCAUAAGAAAGUUUAAAGCCUGCCUUCCUCUUUAAGAAAACCUGAAAGUUGUAGCUUUGAAAGAAUUCACUGCACUCAGACUUUAUAGUGGUGUCUGUGUUCAGGUCCAACCGGAUCUGCAGCCCCCUUCCCCCAGAAUUCUUUCUUCUGGGGGUGAGACUUACCCCACGUGGAAUGCACUCUUUGAAAGGCUCACGGAGCCUAUUCACAUGAAUGAAGCUGCUUUCCGAGGGCAGAUGCGGAAGCCGCCUUGCCUUCCGGAGGGCUUUCGCAACCUGCAGCCCGGGAGGGGAAAUUGCCCCGGGGAGCACUGUUGUCAGUGGGGACUGUCCUGGCUGUGCUCCUGCUGUCACCCGCUGACUGUCCUCUCCAAGAUGCAGUAUCUGGACCCCGAGGGGCUCCUGGGCGAGGAAGAGGAUGAUAUUUUUGGUGAAGCGGACGAGACGGUCUGUCCUGUCCCUUUCAGGUUAACCCACGCCUCCAACGCGACCUCUCUGAACGAGUCAGCUUGGAGACUCUUGCCUGACAGGUGUUGAAAGGAGGUCAGCCUGUAACUGGGCUGUCAGGAUCCUUACCUUCGCAUAACUAACCUCAUGGGUCCCCAAGAGGAAUGGUUCCAAUUUGGGGAGAGAGGCUUGCAUCUCAAGCUAAUCGAACUCACGAGAACAUAGAAGCCAGAAUGCCAGCUCAUAAAAAUACAACGGAACGUAGACCUGUCACCAGGACUGAACUUCUCAAAGGUUUUUCUUCCUCUUUUAUGACUUCUGCUGAGAGUGUUAGCAUGAGCUGCGAUGUAGGGCCCUGCUGAGUGAUAAAAUCUCUUCAUCGCCCACCCUGCGAGCAACUCUCCAGGGGCGAUUUCUAUCUUCCAUUCAUUUCUUCUCGAGAGUCAGCCGAUUGCCGAGUUCUCCGGAUAGCUGGCUAUUCCCCGCCCCCCCGAAUUGCACUCAGAUUUGCACAUCCUAUUUCCGGUCUAAACAGGGCAGGAGACCUGGUGGAGGGAGGGGGGCAGUUCUUGAUCUCCUGGCCUCUUUUUAUCUGCCUCAGCCCCUUCCCCAGACCUGGCCAUCUCUAGGCUUUGAGCUCUUCUCCAAAAACUGCCUGCUGAUUUGAAGAGCUACCUUCUAAUUUGAACAAACUCAAGGACUUUCCAUCAGGGGCUGGCGGUCCCUAGCACCCAGCAAGGCCCAGUGCACCUGUAUCCCCGUGUGCUGAUGUGUGAAAUCCCAUACUCAUUUUCACGUCAAAAGCCCCUGGUCUGUGCUUGGAUCCCAGCACAGGAGAGGAGGAAGCCACGGGAUUCAUUGUAUAAACAGUCAAGAAGAGAAACAGCUGUGGCUUUCUGGCUGCUUUUCCAAGAGGCUCAGUGCUGAACAGGAGGGCUUCUUUAAGUCAAGGUGCUUGGGAUUCUUUCCAGAGGAGUUCCCUCCUUCCCAUGGGUUGGGGAAUGGCAGGUGGGGUGGCUGCCUGGGACAAAAGCUGGGCCUCUUGGGACGAAGCAAAGUGAGGCGCAAACCCACAGCUUGACCAGUGGCCUAAGGCUUGGAGCCUUUCUGGGAUGUGACACGUCCAAAGGAAUGCUGCUGCUGGCCUUGUCAGGAAGCCGGGGCGAGGACUCAAUAAUUUAGGGACUGCAGACAUUCUCGAAGCCCCAGCAGUUUUAAGGAGCAGCAUCCAACGAAGCAUUUGUUGCUUUGUGUGGCAUUUCUUGGUUACUAGAUACGGUAUUUGGAGAGCCGUGGCCUGACGCCGUGGGUCCAGUGCAUGCUAAGCACUGUCCCGCCUCUACAAGUUUGGCCGAUGAAAAUAAAGAUGUUGGUACAAAGCUGAGAACUCA